AAAUUGAAGAGUUUGAUCAUGGCUCAGAUUGAACGCUGGCGGCAGGCCUAACACAUGCAAGUCGAACGGUAGCACAGAGAGCUUGCUCUCGGGUGACGAGUGGCGGACGGGUGAGUAAUGUCUGGGAAACUGCCUGAUGGAGGGGGAUAACUACUGGAAACGGUAGCUAAUACCGCAUAACGUCGCAAGACCAAAGAGGGGGACCUUCGGGCCUCUUGCCAUCAGAUGUGCCCAGAUGGGAUUAGCUAGUAGGUGGGGUAAUGGCUCACCUAGGCGACGAUCCCUAGCUGGUCUGAGAGGAUGACCAGCCACACUGGAACUGAGACACGGUCCAGACUCCUACGGGAGGCAGCAGUGGGGAAUAUUGCACAAUGGGCGCAAGCCUGAUGCAGCCAUGCCGCGUGUAUGAAGAAGGCCUUCGGGUUGUAAAGUACUUUCAGCGGGGAGGAAGGUGUUGUGGUUAAUAACCGCAGCAAUUGACGUUACCCGCAGAAGAAGCACCGGCUAACUCCGUGCCAGCAGCCGCGGUAAUACGGAGGGUGCAAGCGUUAAUCGGAAUUACUGGGCGUAAAGCGCACGCAGGCGGUCUGUCAAGUCGGAUGUGAAAUCCCCGGGCUCAACCUGGGAACUGCAUUCGAAACUGGCAGGCUAGAGUCUUGUAGAGGGGGGUAGAAUUCCAGGUGUAGCGGUGAAAUGCGUAGAGAUCUGGAGGAAUACCGGUGGCGAAGGCGGCCCCCUGGACAAAGACUGACGCUCAGGUGCGAAAGCGUGGGGAGCAAACAGGAUUAGAUACCCUGGUAGUCCACGCCGUAAACGAUGUCGACUUGGAGGUUGUUCCCUUGAGGAGUGGCUUCCGGAGCUAACGCGUUAAGUCGACCGCCUGGGGAGUACGGCCGCAAGGUUAAAACUCAAAUGAAUUGACGGGGGCCCGCACAAGCGGUGGAGCAUGUGGUUUAAUUCGAUGCAACGCGAAGAACCUUACCUACUCUUGACAUCCAGAGAACUUUCCAGAGAUGGAUUGGUGCCUUCGGGAACUCUGAGACAGGUGCUGCAUGGCUGUCGUCAGCUCGUGUUGUGAAAUGUUGGGUUAAGUCCCGCAACGAGCGCAACCCUUAUCCUUUGUUGCCAGCGGUUAGGCCGGGAACUCAAAGGAGACUGCCAGUGAUAAACUGGAGGAAGGUGGGGAUGACGUCAAGUCAUCAUGGCCCUUACGAGUAGGGCUACACACGUGCUACAAUGGCGCAUACAAAGAGAAGCGACCUCGCGAGAGCAAGCGGACCUCAUAAAGUGCGUCGUAGUCCGGAUUGGAGUCUGCAACUCGACUCCAUGAAGUCGGAAUCGCUAGUAAUCGUAGAUCAGAAUGCUACGGUGAAUACGUUCCCGGGCCUUGUACACACCGCCCGUCACACCAUGGGAGUGGGUUGCAAAAGAAGUAGGUAGCUUAACCUUCGGGAGGGCGCUUACCACUUUGUGAUUCAUGACUGGGGUGAAGUCGUAACAAGGUAACCGUAGGGGAACCUGCGGUUGGAUCACCUCCUUACCUUAAAGAA
rnacentral:rRNA from 1 species